UACAGAGGGUGCGAGCGUUGUCCGGAAUCACUGGGCGUAAAGGGCGCGUAGGUGGUUGUGUAAGUCGGGGGUGAAAUGCUGCGGCUCAACCGCAGCGCUGUCUCUGAGACUGCACGGCUUGAGCACGGUAGAGGCCGAUGGAAUUCCCGGUGUAGCGGUGGAAUGCGUAGAGAUCGGGAAGAACACCGAUGGCGAAGGCAGUCGGCUGGGCCGUUGCUGACACUGAGGCGCGACAGCGUGGGGAGCAAACAGG
rnacentral:rRNA from 1 species